UCUCCUUUAGCCGUUUCCUGAAUGGAAAGAGAACCUGCUCCGUGCUUGCUGGCACAACAGCUUGGCCUUUUGUGUUGUUGACAACGUCCCUGGUCAUCAAGCAAAAGAAAAUGGUGUACUCUUGACAUAUGUGAGAAGCAAAAGUCGUGCCUUAUAAGAUGGGAAGAAGAGGCAAGGAAAGACCCUGUGGUGAUUUAAGACGAUGAUUCUGGAUUGAAGCAUCUUGAUACUCAGAG